AACGAACGCUGGCGGCAGGCCUAACACAUGCAAGUCGAGCGAGGACUUCGGUCCUAGCGGCGGACGGGUGAGUAACGCGUGGGAACGUGCCCCUUGGUACGGAAUAGCCCCGGGAAACUGGGAGUAAUACCGUAUGAGCUCUACGGAGGAAAGAUUUAUCGCCAAGGGAUCGGCCCGCGUUGGAUUAGGUAGUUGGAGGGGUAAUGGCCUACCAAGCCGACGAUCCAUCGCUGGUUUGAGAGGAUGAUCAGCCACACUGGGACUGAGACACGGCCCAUACUCCUACAGGAGGCAGAAGUGGAGAAUCUUAGACAAUUGGCGCGAGCCUGAUCAAGCCAUGCCGCGUGAGCGAUGAAGGCCUUAGGGUUGUAAAGCUCUUUCAGCUGGGAAGAUAAUUACUGUACCAGCAGAAGAAGCCCCGGCUAACUCCGUGCCAGCAGCCGCCGUAAAAC
rnacentral:rRNA from 1 species